GGCAGAAGUUAUAAGUCUUCUUAUAGCUGCUGCCGGUGGACCAUUAAACUCUUGUUAUUUUAUGUAAUCUGAGCGUCUUAUUUUAAUAAGUCAAAACUUUCAACAACGGAUCUCUUGGUUCUGGCAUCGAUGAAGAACGCAGCGAAAUGCGAUAAGUAAUGUGAAUUGCAGAAUUCAGUGAAUCAUCGAAUCUUUGAACGCACAUUGCGCCCAUUAGUAUUCUAGUGGGCAUGCCUGUUCGAGCGUCAUUUCAACCCUUAAGCCUAGCUUAGUGUUGGGAAUCUACUUCUCUUAGGAGUUGUAGUUCCUGAAAUACAACGGCGGAUUUGUAGUAUCCUCUGAGCGUAGUAAUUUUUUUCUCGCUUUUGUUAGGUGCUAUAACUCCCAGCCGCUAAACCCCCAAUUUUCUGUGGUUGACCUCGGAUCAGGUAGGAAUACCCGCUGAACUUAAGCAUAUCAAUAAGCC
rnacentral:rRNA from 1 species